AAAUGAACAACCGUAGGGUAUUUCUCAUGAAUUGAAAAAGAAAAUAUUCGCCAAACUGCUUCAUGACUACUAACAUAACGGCCCAUUUGGUAAUGGGUAACUUCCUCACUGGAAUUCUCUGCACCAAUUCCUAUCACAGCUAUAUCAAUCCCUUUGGUUACAUAUUUGCAAAUGUAUUUAAUAGAUUUUACUGAAUGGCAAGAUUCAACGUUGAUGUGCGCUUCGAAGAUCUUUGAUAGAAUAAUGGAUAACCAUCAUUACCAGUAAUUGUUUCCGAUAUUAUUGUCCGUGGAUAUUGCUUUGAACAUUUACCAUCCACCAUACACGGUGAAUUUGGAUUAAGAGUUUCACAGGGACCAUGUAUCAUGUUUUUGGUAACUAUAUCAUGCAAAGAUUUUAACUGAUAUCACUGCAUCAACUUCAUUUGGCCUUAUUUUUUCCACCAACGAAAUCAAAAUGUGUUCAUGUGGCAAUCAUCGUAUCUGCGACUUCACAGAAUACAGCAGCGUGUCUCACCAAACACUUUAUGUUUUACAAUGAAAUACAUUAAAGAUUUCAACCUUUGUCUAAAGACUCUGGUUGUAAUAUCAUGACGA